ACGGGUGAGUAAUGUCUGGGAAACUGCCUGAUGGAGGGGGAUAACUACUGGAAACGGUAGCUAAUACCGCAUAACGUCGCAAGACCAAAGAGGGGGACCUUCGGGCCUCUUGCCAUCAGAUGUGCCCAGAUGGGAUUAGCUUGUUGGUGGGGUAACGGCUCACCAAGGCGACGAUCCCUAGCUGGUCUGAGAGGAUGACCAGCCACACUGGAACUGAGACACGGUCCAG
rnacentral:rRNA from 1 species